AGUGAACGCUGGCGGUAGGCCUAACACAUGCAAGUCGAACGGCAGCACAGUAAGAGCUUGCUCUUACGGGUGGCGAGUGGCGGACGGGUGAGGAAUACAUCGGAAUCUACUUUUUCGUGGGGGAUAACGUAGGGAAACUUACGCUAAUACCGCAUACGACCUACGGGUGAAAGCAGGGGAUCUUCGGACCUUGCGCGAUUGAAUGAGCCGAUGUCGGAUUAGCUAGUUGGCGGGGUAAAGGCCCACCAAGGCGACGAUCCGUAGCUGGUCUGAGAGGAUGAUCAGCCACACUGGAACUGAGACACGGUCCAGACUCCUACGGGAGGCAGCAGUGGGGAAUAUUGGACAAUGGGCGCAAGCCUGAUCCAGCCAUACCGCGUGGGUGAAGAAGGCCUUCGGGUUGUAAAGCCCUUUUGUUGGGAAAGAAAAGCAGCAGGUUAAUACCCCGCUGUUCUGACGGUACCCAAAGAAUAAGCACCGGCGAACCUCGG
rnacentral:rRNA from 1 species